rnacentral:lncRNA from 1 species
CCAGGUAACAGCUCACUAAUCGCUUAGCAAGGAUGAGUCCGCGUCAUACGAGAAGGAAAGCACUCACAGUCAAUAUUAUUGCUUCUCCGGUGUUGUCGAUUGCUUAAAAGCUGGCCUCUUUAUGUCUGUUUCAAGAGAAGAAAAGAAAAAAAGAAAACAAAAGUGGCUCCCCUCCACGGCUGCUUCUGUGGUUGCAUGGCCUCUUGGCUCCUACAUGUAGUGGUGUGUGAAUCAGUUGCAUGAUUAAUUAAUUAUAUAACAGUAAAAUUCGAUAUAUAGUCAGCAGCGACUUGGAAAUGGAGUUGGGAGGUAACUGCUACUCGCAGUAAGUCGGAAUGCCUUGCGCGCCACCUGUGCAAAAUAUUUCUGCGCUCCCACAUCUUGUAAAUGUAGCUCCAAAAUAUGAAUCUAAAAGCAACUCUUUGAGAUCUCUUUGGAACCUCUAGCUGAGCAACAUUUGUUCCCUGGAUUUUUAGUAAAAAAAAAUUCCAGACUGGUAACCAUAGUUUCUAUCUUUC